rnacentral:rRNA from 1 species
GAGUUUGAUCGUGGCUCAGAACGAACGCUGGCGGCAUGCCUAACACAUGCAAGUCGAACGAGCCCUUCGGGGUUAGUGGCGCACGGGUGCGUAACGCGUGGGAAUCUGCCCAAAGGUUCGGAAUAACUCGGGGAAACUCGUGCUAAUACCGGAUAAUGUCGCAAGACCAAAGAUUUAUUGCCUUUGGAUGAGCCCGCGUAGGAUUAGCUAGUUGGUGGGGUAAAGGCUUACCAAGGCGACGAUCCUUAGCUGGUCUGAGAGGAUGAUCAGCCACACUGGGACUGAGACACGGCCCAGACUCCUACGGGAGGCAGCAGUGGGGAAUAUUGGACAAUGGGCGAAAGCCUGAUCCAGCAAUGCCGCGUGAGUGAUGAAGGCCCUCGGGUCGUAAAGCUCUUUUACCAGGGAUGAUAAUGACAGUACCUGGAGAAUAAGCUCCGGCUAACUCCGUGCCAGCAGCCGCCGU